rnacentral:tRNA from 1 species
GCCGGGGUGGUGGAAUGGUAGACACCAGGGACUUAAAAUCCCUUGAGCCAUAGGCUCGUGCCAGUUCAAGUCUGGUCCCCGGCA